rnacentral:rRNA from 1 species
CCUACGGGUGGCAGCAGUGAGGAAUAUUGGUCAAUGGACGAGAGUCUGAACCAGCCAAGUAGCGUGAAGGAUGACUGCCCUAUGGGUUGUAAACUUCUUUUAUAUGGGAAUAAAAUGUUCCACGUGUGGGAUUUUGUAUGUACCAUAUGAAUAAGGAUCGGCUAACUCCGUGCCAGCAGCCGCGGUAAUACGGAGGAUCCGAGCGUUAUCCGGAUUUAUUGGGUUUAAAGGGAGCGUAGGUGGAUUGUUAAGUCAGUUGUGAAAGUUUGCGGCUCAACCGUAAAAUUGCAGUUGAAACUGGCAGUCUUGAGUACAGUAGAGGUGUGCGGAAUUCGUGGUGUAGCGGUGAAAUGCUUAGAUAUCACGAAGAACUCCGAUUGCGAAGGCAGUUCACUGGACUGCAACUGACACUGAGGCUCGAAAGUGUGGGUAUCAAACAGGAUUAGAUACCCUAGUAGUC